rnacentral:lncRNA from 1 species
UAGAAAUCAAUUUUAAAUUUGCAAAAAUAAUUUGCAAAGUAGACACAAAGAAGAAAAAACAUGAGUGGAUAUUUUAUUUGCAGUCUGUUUGGAUUGGAAACAUUUUUCUAAGCAUAGAGGUGAAAAAAUCUUUGAGGAAAAGAUUAACAGACUUAUAAUAAUAAUUUGCCUAUAAAGUAAAAAUAAUUCUAUACAUCAGAAUAACUUCAAACAAAAGUACUGCAACAAAAUUGGUGUAAAACAUUUUUGUGAAUUUGAUAGAUAAAUAAUGGUCUGUUUUAAUUUUUUUUAAAAUAGAGAAAAGUUAAACUAAGUUGAUGAGAACAAAUUACUUUUUUCAGUAAAAUUUGGACAUCAGUCUUGGAGUAUAAAAAGUAGCUCCCAGAUGUGGGAGGAAAAAGAUUUAUCCUUUUAUCACUGAGGAAUUAACAUUUAAAAUAACAAAAAUCCGUUUUUCACUGGUCUAAAUAGCAUACAUAGAAAAAGCAUUCAGUACUCAAGUAUUAGCACCCUCCCAUUUCUCCUGCCUAACAGCAUAGCAGAAGACGGGAGAGCCCUGCUGAGAAAGUCAGGAUGCCAGGAGGUGUUAGGAACUGCGGGGCUGGAGAGAUGGCUCAGUGGUAUAGGAUUCAUGUCGAAGAGCUGGGUUUGGUUCCCAGGAUCUACAUAGCAGCUCACAACCACCUGUAACUCUCACACACACACACACACACACACACACACACACACACACACACACAAUAAAUCUAAGAACAAUUUACCAAACCAAACCAAACCAUAUUGUUCAAGCCAUUAGGUAUUGCAGUUGUGCUCUGAGGAAUUCCUUUAAGGCAUUGAUCAGAAAAUGGGUAAACACUUAUGAAAAGAAUUGCUUAUUACAGUGAUAUUUAUUGUAGUAAAUAACAUGACUAAGGGCAUAGGUUUCCACAGUGGGGACUUCCUAAAUUCACAAUAUAUUUAUUAUUAUUUCCAUGGUGGCUGUUAAUGCACUCUUCUUUAAAGACAGCAGACAGUACUUUACUUUGAAUGGGCUCUGUCUUGGCACUCAGAGAAUGAACAUGUUUAGUUCUAUCUCUGAUCGGUGCGUAGGCCUGGCAGUUCAGGUAAGGUGAGAAUAAAAAGAGAGAAGAAAACAACCUCUUGUUUGUUUUUGUUCAGUUUGGUUUAACUUUUUGAGGCCGAGUCUGAGGUAGAGCUGCUGGCCUUGAACCUGUAGCUCAGGAUGUUUCCUUGUUUUUGUUUUUUGUUUUUAAGGAUGAGUCUUGCUCUGUUGCCUGAGCUGCCCUUGAACUUGUGAUCUUCCUGCCUCACCUUCCCACCCAGGAAUUAUAGGUGUAUGAUGCUAUGCCUGGCACUGAAUAAAAUCUCAGAUUUAUAAGGAUAAGGUAAUUUUAAAGAGUUUAAAUAAACCUUCCAACC